rnacentral:rRNA from 1 species
GACGAACGCUGGCGGCGUGCUUAACACAUGCAAGUCGAACGGAAAGGCCCUGCUUUUGUGGGGUGCUCGAGUGGCGAACGGGUGAGUAACACGUGAGUAACCUGCCCUUGACUUGGGGAUAACUUCAUGAAACUGGGGCUAAUACCGGAUAGGAGCGCCUGCUGCAUGGUGGGGGUUGGAAAGUUUCGGCGGUUGGGGCUGGACUCGCGGCUUAUCAGCUUGUUGGUGGGGUAGUGGCUUACCAAGGCUUUGACGGGUAGCUGGGCUGAGAGGGUGACCGGCCACGUUAGGACUGGGAUACGGCCCAGACUACUACGGGAGGCAGCAGUGGGGAAUAUUGCACAAUGGGCGGAAGCCUGAUGCAGCAACGCCGCGUGCGGGAUGACGGCCUUCGGGUUGUAAACCGCUUUCGCCUGUGACGAAGCGUGAGUGACGGUAAUGGGUAAAGAAGCACCGGCUAACUACGUG